AUUGAACGCUGGCGGCAUGCCUUACACAUGCAAGUCGAACGGCAGCACGGGGCAACCUGGUGGCGAGUGGCGAACGGGUGAGUAAUGCAUCGGAACGUGCCAUUGAGCGGGGGAUAACGUAGCGAAAGUUGCGCUAAUACCGCAUAUUCUGUGAGCAGGAAAGCAGGGGACCGCAAGGCCUUGCGCUCUUUGAGCGGCCGAUGUCAGAUUAGCUAGUUGGUGAGGUAACGGCUUACCAAGGCGACGAUCUGUAGCGGGUCUGAGAGGAUGAUCCGCCACACUGGAACUGAGACACGGUCCAGACUCCUACGGGAGGCAGCAGUGGGGAAUUUUGGACAAUGGGCGCAAGCCUGAUCCAGCCAUGCCGCGUGAGUGAAGAAGGCCUCGGUU
rnacentral:rRNA from 1 species